UAAGAAUCAAGAACAUCGUCUGGAUGCCACUAAAGAUGGACUCUUCCCCAGUCUUCGUUACUGCGAUACUCCUCCUACUCACAAGGACCCAUGGAGACUCAGUGACACAGACGGAAGGUCAAGUGACCCUCUCGGAAGAGGACUUUCUUACUAUACACUGCAAAUAUUCAGCCUCAGGGUAUCCACCCCUGUUCUGGUAUGUGCAGUAUCCUGGAGAAGGUCCACAGCUUCUCUUCAGAGCCUCGAAGGACAACGAGAAGAAAAGUAGCAGAGGCUUUGAAGCCACAUAUGAUAAAGGAUCCAGCUCCUUCCACUUGCAGAAAGCCUCGGUCCAGGAGUCAGACUCGGCUGUGUACUACUGUGCUCUGGGUGGCACAGUAGUGGAAACCACAGGGGGAGCUGAACACAAACUCAUCACCAGGGGCCUGACUGCUGAGUUCCUGCCUCUGGGAUUGCUUUGGUUCCUCUGUGUUGUGUGCCUCUCCAUUUCUCUGGUUUGCACAAAAUCAUAUGGAUAGCCACAGCAG